rnacentral:rRNA from 1 species
GGCUUAGAAGCAGCCAUCCUUGAAAGAGUGCGUAAUAGCUCACUGGUCAAGUGAUUCUGCGCCGAUAAUGUAGCGGGGCUCAAGUACACCGCCGAAGUUGUGGCAAUGAUCUUUUUUGGAUUGUUGGGUAGGGGAGCGUCGUGUAGCCGGUGAAGCUGCGGUGUAAACCAGUGGUGGAGGCUAUGCGAGUGAGAAUGCAGGCAUGAGUAGCGAAAGAUGAGUGAGAAACUCAUCCGCCGGAUGAUCAAGGGUUCCAGGGUCAAGUUAAUCUGCCCUGGGUUAGUCGGGGCCUAAGGCGAGGCCGACAGGCGUAGUCGAUGGAUAACGGGUUGAUAUUCCCGUACCGGUGAAAAACCGCCCAUACUGAUAUUGUGAUGCUAACCAUGCGAAGCAUGAUGUGCAGGCUUUUGUUUGUGUGUUGUGUGGGUUGUGGGACCCGAUCUUUGGAGGUAAACGUAUUAACAGGUGUGACGCAGGAAGGUAGCCAAGCCACGCGAUGGUUGUCGUGGUCUAAGCGUGUAGGGUUGUCGGUUGUUAAAUGCGCCGGCUGUGUGCCUGAGACGUGAUGGGACCCCGUUUUUGGGGGAUUUGGUGAUCCUAUGCUGCCGAGAAAAGCAUCGGCGUGAGGUUUUAGCCGCCCGUACCCUAAACCGACACAGGUGAUCAGGUAGAGAAUACUAAGGCGAUCGAGAGAAUCAUGGUUAAGGAACUCGGCAAAAUGCCCCCGUAACUUCGGGAGAAGGGGGACCUUGAGCGUGAUGGGCACUUGCUGCCUGGAGCGUGUAUGGGUCGCAGAGACCAGGGGGAAGCGACUGUUUAUCAAAAACACAGGUCCGUGCGAAGUCGUAAGACGAUGUAUACGGACUGACUCCUGCCCGGUGCUGGAAGGUUAAGAGGAUUGGUUAGCCCUUUUGGGCGAAGCUGAGAAUUUAAGCCCCAGUAAACGGCGGUGGUAACUAUAACCAUCCUAAGGUAGCGAAAUUCCUUGUCGGGUAAGUUCCGACCUGCACGAAUGGAGUAACGACUUCCCUACUGUCUCAACCAUGAACUCGGCGAAAUUGCAGUACGAGUAAAGAUGCUCGUUUCGCGCAGCAGGACGGAAAGACCCCGUGACCUUUACUAUAGUUUGGUAUUGGUGUUUGGUUUGGCUUGUGUAGGAUAGGUGGGAGACUGUGAAGCAUGGACGCUAGUUUGUGUGGAGUCGUUGUUGAAAUACCACUCUGGUCAAUCUGGAUGUCUAACUUCGGGCCAUGAUCUGGUUCAGGGACAGUGCCUGAUGGGUAGUUUAACUGGGGCGGUUGCCUCCUAAAGUGUAACGGAGGCGCCCAAAGGUUCCCUCAGCCUGGUUGGCAAUCAGGUGUUGAGUGUAAGUGCACAAGGGAGCUUGACUGUGAGACUGGCAGGUCGAGCAGGGACGAAAGUCGGGACUAGUGAUCCGGCGGUACGUUGUGGAACGGCCGUCGCUCAACGGAUAAAAGGUACCUCGGGGAUAACAGGCUGAUCUUGCCCAAGAGUCCAUAUCGACGGCAUGGUUUGGCACCUCGAUGUCGGCUCGUCGCAUCCUGGGGCUGGAGUCGGUCCCAAGGGUUGGGCUGUUCGCCCAUUAAAGCGGUACGCGAGCUGGGUU